CUAGCCGCUACCGCUACCCCUGGCCAGAGGAAACGCGGGGGAAGUGGUCCCGUGCCAUGGACGAGGUCCCUGCGGCGGGCAGAGGUGGUGUGCACGGGAUCUGCUGUCGGAGGACACCUCGUGGCUGAUACCCCAGCUCCCCGCCCAGCGCUCUGUUUCGCUACCUCUUCUAAAGCGUUUCUGCAGUUGGUAAACUGAGGCACAUCCCCGGCAGCCCGGGGACGCACCCCUGUGGCCUUUUCAGACGAGUAAACAGCUGCGCUCCCCCCUGCGGGCCCCCCCCCCCCCCCGCCGACAGAGCCCCCCUUCCGGCACCUAAAUCCGGAGUCUCCGUGACUCACACUCCCGCCUCCCCCAGCGCCGUGCCGAGCGAGCAAGCGCGAGCAGGCAGCUAGCGGCAUCAGAGUGUUCCCCUUCCCCCGCUCCAGCCCUUGCUGAGCCCUAGCGGCAGGGCGGGGGCUCGGCCUGGUACCCCACCUGUCUGGUGGAGGAGGCGCUCAGACGCUAACCCACUUAGGUGCGAGUCCAAGAAAGCAGGCCCUUCCUUCCCUGAGUGUUCUCCCCUCACCGGCUCCGCCCUGCAGGCAGUGCCGUCUGCCACCGCCCCCCACCCCCGCACUGUUCUUAUAUU